AAAACAUACAAUAAAACGUUGUUGUAACGGCACCCUCAGCAUAAAAGGGUUAAACCGCCGUUUAGUAGAUCUUCCCUUCCAGAGACACAGGCACAGCUACUGCAGAACACCAAUCCGCCGAACAGGAAACCAUACGAAUGCUGUAAACAGCCGAAUGGGAAAAACCAUACGAAUAGGUUUACACUCCUAGCAGUCAAACUGGAACAGCAUACAAUAAAUCCCCCCCAAGAACGUGACAAAGCUCCGUGUUGUGGGUCAAGCAGUGAACAGACAGAGCUGUGGGUUUAUUGUGCUUAUGUACACAUUCUUACACAUUAGUACCACCCACAGGGUUUUGGAAUACAACCAAUAAACACAUACAAUACACUCAGACACUCCCACACAAAUUCCUCCCCUCUGCUUGUGAUUCAAUUACCUUACACAAUGGGUAAUGUAAUUAAGCACAAGCAGAGAAAUACAAUUUUUCCACAUUAUUCAUAACUUG